rnacentral:lncRNA from 1 species
CUCAAAUUGGCCAGUGAAAGGUUCUUCAAAUUGGCUCCUGUACCCUUUUGACAUGAUGUUAGUCCUUGAUUGCUUCGUUGUUUUUGGUAUAAGACAUGCCAGGAUCAUUUCGUAAAUUUCCUGACCCACACCUGGAAUCAGCUAAUUGCUUGAAGAAACUUGGCAUUUAGAGACUACAAUCUGGGUGCUAGGCAUACUCAUUGCCACUUGGUUUUUCAGUGAACAGAUCCAGGAAAUAAGUUUUUUUUAAUGCAUAAGAGAAAUAGAUCUAAAACAUGGUCCUUCUCUUUGUUAAAAUACUAAAAUAUUUGGCUUUUGGUAUGGAAGCUUAUAGGAGGGUUACUUCACAUAGAGGGAAGGUGGAUGUCAAGGAAGGCGUCCUCAAGGAGAUAGCACUUGAUCUCAGCUUUGAAGAAUAAAGUGAAGCGAGGGUACUUUCAUGAGUUGUCUGUUUCAGUCAUAUAUAUGCUAUGCGUUUGUCUUUGCACCAGUGACCUGACCAGUAUGAGCCUCAGUUUCCUCAUCUAUAAACUUGUAACACUCAACAUACAUUUUGCUUCUCUUCAGGUUUUCUCUGUCAGCAAUAAUACAGUAGUAAAACUGCAAGGAAUAUCACUGUGUCUAUACACUUGUGCAUUUGUCCAUGUAUUUUGAUGGGAUAAGAUUCCUCGAAGGGAAAUUGCUGAGUUCAAUAUGUACAUAUUAACACUUAGUUAUAGUUACUGCCAAACUGCCAUCAGAAAAAGUUAUAAAAAUUUACAUCUUUUACCACCAGGAGGCUAGUCCCCCCAUUUCUUCACACCCACAAUAAUGAAAUCUUAAAACUAAAUUAUUUUCAUUUAUUUAGUAUCACAUUGUUUUGAUUCCUUCCCAGAAUAUCAGAGAAAGUUAAUUUAAAUGUUUGCUUCUUAAAAGUAUGGAAUUAACAUGAUGACAUUUUUAAGAUAUUUUCAGCACUUUUGGAACCUAGAAACUUAUUUUAUAAUGGAGCUUUCUAAUCCUUUACUAUAGAAUAAUAAUUUUCCAUAUUUUGAAAAGUAAUUCAAAGUCAGGAUGCCCAGCAAUCACCUACUCUGCUUCCUACCAGCUGCAGGAAGAAAACACUUCCUGAUUUCCCAUUUCUCUCACUCUCUCUCUCUCUUUUUUUUUGUUUGGAAUGUGAUCUGGAGAUCUGGAUUAGAAAGAAAACAUUCCUAAAGUAGUUUGGGAGCCUUCUAAUUUUACCAGCCUUUUUCUACCUUAUAUGACUUUAUUACCUCAUUCGCCAUUCGUUGUGGACACUUCCAUGUUAUUUGAAAGUGGCUAAACGUUCUUCAACUACAAAUUCACCUAUCGCAAAGGCCGCUAUAGAAGUUCCAACAAGCUCUGUGCUACUUCUGAGGAGAGAGGGUCUGAAUAUUGGGAAAAAGGUAAUGUUCAUUUGGAAAAGUUAAAUACACUAAAAGUUAUAUUUUCUAAAAUUCUUCAAUGAGGAAAGCAGUAUUAUCUCAAAAGAGAAGAGGUUCAUUGACUCAGUAUUUUGACAUGAUUGUUCUUAGAGUCAUUCAUAAGGAAGGACAUCUGAUGUAGUGAGUGUAAACGCUGGCUUUGGAGACUAGCAAUCCUAUCUUGACUCUCACCUACUAGCAGUGUGACUUAGGCUAUUCUUUCUUAACCUCAAGUUCCUCACCUGAAAAAGUGGACAUAAUAAUGCCUCGUAAGGAUUUUGUUACAACUAAAUGAGAUAAUUCAUGUUAAAUGCUAAUCACAAGCUUAAUAGAUUUCACGUGCUAUUAAGUGUUAGCUUACCUUUGUGGAAGUACUGUGCUCAUGAUUGGCAACAUAAUGUGUUUGGUUUAAAGGGAAGAUAUGAUUAAAAUUUUCAAUCGUAAUGCCUAAAGGGCAAAUUUAAAAUGAGUUGUGGUUUUAAAAAUAAUGUAUUAAGGAAGAAUUACAUCCUUUUGGUUUCUGCAGAGAAUUAAGUAAGUGUAAAAUGGACACCAGCUGCAAUCUUAUUUGCAGGUAUUAUCAAGAUUCAAAAAUGUAUUGUGGGCAGGUAAUCCAUUUUUUUGCGAAGUUUUCAAGGAAAUAGCCAAAAGAAAAAAAAAGG